UGAGAUGACAGCAGAGAAACUAGGGCGAUCAGUAGUACUCAGCGCAAGGACAGCGAGCAGAGAAGGCAAACCUAGUGCUUGCUAAGGAAGACUUCACAGAGGAGGUAGUGUCAGGGCCGAGACUAGGAGAAGGAUUCUCCAGGCUUCAUACGGUAAAACUCUCUGGGAAGGAAAGGAACUCAGAGUCCCAUGCAGAAAAUUGUCCAGCUGGAGGGGUAUCAGAAAGAUGGAUUUCCAAAGCCAACUGUUUCCUGUAGUGUGUGGAUCUCUGCAAGCAGAGCCUCAUCUUUCAAUUUCAGCUACAUGAAAGAGGAAGAAAGGGAAAGAUAUAUGUCAUACGUGAUAUACUGUAUGUGGCUUUGAAGACCCCUCUUUUGUGGGGCUACGGCUAAAGAACGUAGUUCCCUGGGAUGGAAUUGGCUCUUCCUAUUUCCCUACUUCAUGAAAACUCCAGUAGAAGACCUUAGAACCUUGUCCUGGUUACAUGGAUAUGUUUACUUUGUGAAAAUUCAUCAAGCACUAUGCACGGUCAUGAUUUGUACAUUUUUUUGUAAGAUAACUUCAUUAAAAUUUACUUUUUUUAUUUUUAAAAA